rnacentral:rRNA from 1 species
AGAACGAACGCUGGCGGCAUGCCUAACACAUGCAAGUCGAACGAGACCUUCGGGUCUAGUGGCGCACGGGUGCGUAACGCGUGGGAAUCUGCCCUUGGGUACGGAAUAACAGCGAGAAAUUGCUGCUAAUACCGUAUAAUGACUUCGGUCCAAAGAUUUAUCGCCCAGGGAUGAGCCCGCGUAGGAUUAGCUUGUUGGUGAGGUAAGUGGCUCACCAAGGCUACGAUCCUUUAGCUGGUCUGAGAGGAUGAUCAGCCACACUGGGACUGAG